ensembl:lncRNA
AACUUGUCCAACCUUAUUAGUUAAAAGAAGCUACUCAACAAAGAACAAAGUCCAGUCUCUGUGAAGGCAGCAGAAAUCUUGCAUCAUUUUCUAUUGACUGCAGCACAGUUACAAAAGAUUUCCAUUUGCAGAAUUAAGUUCAAUUUUGGGCCUACGUGACAAGCCACAUUUUAAUGACACCUUUCCUCAGGUAUGGCUCAAGCUUGUAUGUGGGCUCUAGAUUGGAAGAAUAAAUUCUGGGGACAUUUGAGACUUUUUUAGAUGCUGGUGAGAUAGUCAACCCUCGUGAAUGAAAAAGUUCUGGGGAGAGCCUUUGGACAUUGCUUUCAGGAAGAUUGAUUCUGAUCAUCUUAUCAGCCAAGGCAUAUGACGAGGGAGAGUGCUGGGAGCAGGCAGGCCGUUUCCACCACCGUGACACAGAAACAAACGGCAGAUUAUCUGCUGGGUACAAAAGGUCAGAGGACCACGGAGUAUCCUGAGUUGGAAGGGAUCCACAAGGAUCAUUGAGGUCUACAAAGAGGCUUCAAAUGACUUCUGUUGUUCCAUAGGAAGCUGAAGGGUGUUGUUUAUAGAGAAGCUGGAUAUCAAAAUUUUGCUCUGUGGUGCCUGUUGCCAUUGAGAUUGGAGGAAGUCUGGACAAUGUUCAGCCUUGCAUGGGCAUGUGGCUGUGAAUUAAAGGAAACAACAAAUAUCUGUGAAUCAUUCCCCAUGCUCCAGGAUUUUUUCUAAAAUCCUCCAAGAAGAGCUGUAGAGAGUUUAAAAAAAAAAAUGCCAGUAUAUUUCCAGCACUCUAAAUCAUUCUGAGACAUAAUAUGAAAACAACCAAUGGUAUAAUAUUCAAUGGGAGGGGUUGCUGUGGGGUACUGAUGAAGAUCAAAUAAGAUGAAAGAAAUCUCCUUCAUGUAUGAGAUACAGAACAGGUAGAAGUCAGAAAGUUUUGAUUUGUUUUGUUGAAUUGGGAGAUUAAAGAUCUAUUAAGAUCUGUUAUAGAGAAUAGAGAUCUGUAAAGAUCUAUAAAGAUCUAUUAAGAUCUUUGCCUGUUUAAAACAAACAAACAAAUAACAACAACAACAACAAAAAAAACAAGAAAAAUGAAAAUGAUUGGCAUUACAGAGAGGUGAGAUACACAGGAUUCCUUUCUUUGCCUUGUCUUUUUUCUUCUUUUCCUUUUCCUUUUCCUUUUCCUUUUCCUUUUCCUUUUCCUUUUCCUUUUCCUUUUUUCUCUUCCUCUUCCUUUUCCUUUUCCUUUUUUCUCUUCCUCUUCCUCUUUCUUUCUCUUCAUCUUCCUCUUUUUCUUUUUUCUUUUCCUUUUUCCUCUUUUCUCUUCUUUUUCUUCUUCAUUUUUCCUUCUGUCUUCCACUUCUCUCUCUCUCUCUCUCUUUCUCUCGCUCUCUGUCUCUCUCUCUCUUUUUUUUUUUUUUUUCCCCAGCACUGGACAGC